AGCGAACGUUAGCGGCGGGCCUAACACAUGCAAGUCGAACGCGAAAGGUCUUCGGACUGAGUAGAGUGGCGCACGGGUGAGUAACACGUAGGUAAUCUACCCUUUGGCGGGGGAUAACGUUCCGAAAGGAGCGCUAAUACCGCAUAAGACCACGGAGUCUCCGGACGCUGUGGGAAAAGGUGGGUCGCAAGGCCUGCCACCUGAGGAUGAGCCCGCGUACCAUUAGGUUGUUGGUGGGGUAAUGGCCUACCAAGCCGAAGAUGGUUAGCUGGUCUGAGAGGACGAUCAGCCACACUGGGACUGAGACACGGCCCAGACUCCUACGGGAGGCAGCAGUGGGGAAUAUUGCGCAAUGGGGGAAACCCUGACGCAGCAACGCCGCGUGUGUGAAGAAGGCCUUCGGGUCGUAAGCACUGUUGGAGGAACGAGCCGCUCGUGGGGAAGUAUCUGCGAGCCCGACGGUACCUCCUGAGGAAGCACCGGCUAACUCCGUGCCAGCAGCCGCGGUAAAGUGU
rnacentral:rRNA from 1 species